AAUAACAAUAAACAGCUGCGCCAUGAGCGCAUGAUACGCCCGACGUCUUGUGUGGAAGUUUUAUGCAAUAAUCAUAAAUAGUUUCUGAGAAAGUUUUAAGCAAUAACCAUAUACUGUUUUUGAGAAAGGGCGGGACAUGUGAAACCCCCAACCCUGUUUUUUUUUACAAAAAACUAAAUAUCACUAAAAUAAAAUUUUGAAUCAAAACCAAAAAGUAUACAGAUCUUUAGAUUAAUAUAACAAAGAAGUGUGUAAACUUUUAAGCAAUAAUCAUAAAUUAUUUUUGAGAUACGGCGCAACAUGUAAAAAAAAACCUCCCCUAUUUAACAAAAUACUCAAUAACUCCAAAAUAACGUUUUGAAUCAUCACCAAAAAGUAUACAGAUCUUUAGAUUGAUAUAACAAAGAAGUGUGUAAAGUUUUAAGCAAUAAUCAUAAAUUGUUUUUGAGAUACGGCACAACAUGUAAAAAAAAACCUCCCCCUUUUUUACAAAAUACUCAAUAACUCAAAAAUGAAAUUUUGAAUCAUCACCAAAAAGUAUACAGAUCUUCAGAUUAAUAUAACAAAGACUUGUGUAAAGUUUUAAGCAAUAAUCAUAAAUCGUUUUUGAGAUAUGGUGCGACAUGUAAAAAAACCCUCCCCCUUUUUUACAAAAUACUCAAUAACUCAAAAAUGAAAUUUUGAAUCAUCACCAAAAAGUAUACAGAUAUUAAGAUUAAUAUAACUAAGAAGUGUUUAAAGUUUUAAGCCAUAAUCAAGAAUCGUUUUUGAGAUACGGUGCGACAUGUGAAAAAAACACACCCCUGUUUUAGUUACAAAGUGCCGUAACUCGAAAAGUCUUAAUCUUAUUUUCACCAAAAAGUAUACAGAUCAUUUGACCAUCGUAAGUAACAACUAUGUUAAGUUUCAUGAAAUUUGGAUAAGUCGUUCUCAAGUUACGGUGCGACAUGUUUACGCCGGACAGACAGACGGACGGACAGACAGACGGACGGACGGACGGACAGACAGACGGACGGACACCGGACAUUUGUAUACCAUAAUACGUCCCGUCAAAAUUUUGACGGGCGUAUAAAAACAGC
rnacentral:lncRNA from 1 species